AGAGAUUUGCGGAACCUGAAAGACUCCCUGAAGCAUCAAAUUUUGAAUGUACUAAGAACAGUUUUAUGGUUCAACUAAAAAUAAAUUGUCGUUCGACAUCAAGUGGUCCUGCUGGAACAGCAAAAGAUACCAUUUCAGCUGCCAUCUUGAAAAUUCUCUUUGAAAGAUGAAGAAUUAUACUGAGAACACCCCAGCCUAAAAGGGAAUUACAGCAAGAAAUGGCAGAGCUGAGAUGGUGUUAAUGACAUACCUCAGUGUAAAGUUGAAGAACAUCUUGUGAAAAUAAAUUGUAGAUACCACACAGCAACAAA